rnacentral:rRNA from 1 species
UACGUAGGUGACAAGCGUUGUCCGGAUUUACUGGGCGUAAAGAGCGCGCAGGCGGUCGUUCAAGUCGAGUGUGAAAGCCCCCGGCUCAACUGGGGAGGGUCACUCGAUACUGAUCGACUCGAAGGCAGGAGAGGGUAGUGGAAUUCCCGGUGUAGUGGUGAAAUGCGUAGAUAUCGGGAGGAACACCAGUGGCGAAGGCGGCUACCUGGCCCAUUCUUGACGCUGAGGCGCGAAAGCUAGGGGAGCAAACGGG